AAUUCAUAAUAGAAGAGAGAAGGAGAGGCAACAAUUUUAAGUAAAUGGAAUAUUUGGAAAUUAAUGGCAUUAAAUGAUGGGAAACUUGCUUGUUCUUGUUAUGCUUAUUUGCAAUUACGAGGCAUCAGUAAAUAUAUUCCCAGUAGUGAAACUGUUUUAAAUGACUUCUGAUUUAAGAUUUGUAUGACCCAUCACAGACAGCAAUGCUCUCAUGGAAAGCAGCUUUCAGUGUGACUCCACUGGAACUCACUUCUUCUUGUAAUGAUGGGAAGCCUCUGGGCUUCAAGAUACAAUCUACAUAAGAGAUGGAUUUACAUUUAAGACAAAUGCAAUAAGGAAAAUGCAUAUACCCAUAAGAGGCAUUCCAUCUUAAGACUGUUAUUGGGAAUAGAACAAUUAAUUAUUAGUGAAGAAAUGCAGAAACUUAGACAAGCAACUGAGAUCUAAAUAGAAAGAUAUUCUCCAUCUACUGCAUAUGUUUGUCAAUAAUUGGCCCUAAGCUGCUUCUAAAAUUAAUUGGAUACUGUGCAAUGACUAUGAUGCUCAAAAGGGCUUUUAAUUAACGUACCCUCUCUGUAGUUUAUAACAGUAGAAAAAGUGUUCAGCAAUAGUAGCCAUUCAGUUCCUGUACAGCCAUAUUUUGUCUAUGGUUAUUUAAGUGCUUUCCAAACUUAGUAAAAAGAAAAACAACUUGAUGAGUAACAUGGAAAUUCUAUGCUUGUAUAGCUCUCUAUAAGGAUAACUGGAUAAGUCAGUUUUAUUUUUUAAAUAAAUUAAGUUCUUAGAUUUUUAGAUAAAGCAUAGUGUUUUUUCCUGUCUGCUGAAGUAACACUACUGAAUCUUUAGGGAGAGAUUUAUGCCAGAGACAUUCUGGCAUAUUUUUUAUUUGGAUACAGUUGACCUCUCUUUGAUUACAGACUUAUACCUAAGGGACUAAUAGCUAAAGAAAGAGAAAGCUGUACAGCUGAUGUUUAACUGUAACAUGAGCACAAUCUUGCAGAAACUUUAGAAGAAGUCAAAUGGAGAAAAGCUAGUUCUCAUUUUUCAACUUUAGAAGAUGAGUACAGCUGGCUUGUGUUUAUAAAGUCACACUAGAGGCGUAACAAGCUGCAUUAAUCACCAGUUCAUAGUGGGGAACCACAAGAAAGUCACAGGAGUCCCAGAGGAGUGCGGAAAGACAGACGUCUGUUGCAACAACAGCCUGGCAAUAAAGAGCACAGGCUAAAGGAUACGCUCAUUGGGAAACUUUGGGAAAACUUAGGAAAGAGACAAGAAACAGUAAGAGCCUGUGAGAGAGUCAGGUGAUCAUAGAUACUCAGUACAUAUGGUAAAUCUGCAUGGGAUGAAGAUGUUCUAUGAAUAUACAGAAGAGUAUGCCUGAGUUUACAGUUCCUCUCUGAUAAGAUUCUGAAUAGCUGAAUUAUAUAUUCUGUGCAAUCCUGGGAAAACACUGACUUUGUAUUUUGUUUAUGCUUGGGAAUAACAAAUAAGAAAUAUCCUAGAGCAAUUCAUUUAGGGAAGGCACUUCAAGCCUGAAAGAACUCAAUGAUGCAAGCAAAGGAUUGAAAAAAAAGUUACCCUCUGCUAUUGGGACAACUGAUAAAAUGUCUCAAAUGUUUUUUUGUUUUGUUUUGUUCU
rnacentral:lncRNA from 1 species